AGAGUCUAGCACUGGGGAUACAACAAUGAUCAAAAUAGAACAAAGUUCUUGACCUCAUAAAGCCAACAUUCUAGUAAGGGAAGACAGACUAUAGACGUAUAAAUAAGGAGGCCAGUGUGGCUAGAUGUGAAUAAGCAAGAGAAAAAGUAUAAGAGAGAAGGUUAAAGAGGGGGUCAGAUAUACAGCCAUAGAUAUGACUGAAGAACUUUUGACUGUGAAUGAGAAGGGAAGCAGUAAGACCAAGAAGAACCUGAUUUGAUUUCUGUUCUAAAAGGAUCUGAUGGGGAUGCAAGAACAGAAAUGGGAAGACCAGCUAAGAGAUUAAUGUAAUACUGCACAUGAGAACUGAUGAGGACAUGUACCACAUGGGGAUGGUGUUAAAUCAGAUUCUGGAUGAAUUCUAAAGGACCUGCUAAUAAAUGAGAUGUGGGAUGGAAGAGAAAGAGAACAGUCAAGGAUUCAGCACAGGUUUUACUCCGAGCCACAGCAAAGAUGGAGUUGCCCUUUAAUGAGCUGAGGAAGACUGCAGGAAGUCAAAUUUCAGGGAUAAUUGAUGGAGUGCCUCCCAAAUAUCUCCUGAUUAUUGAUUAAUGCAAAUUGCUGAUUGGAAAGAGAAGUUACCCUAAGCCAGGAGUCUCAUGGGGAAAGCCUGCUGGUCAACCCGACAUGACUACCAGGGUGUGCCACCCGUGGUUGACUGCUCUUCUCUAUCCAGGACCAGACUUCAGCCUGGCAGACUCACACUUGAUUUAUGAUCUCUCAGGAUGAAUGGAGAAUAGCAGUUCAACAAACAUUUGAGAAAAGCAAGCACCGUGAUGUAGAAAGUCCAAGAUUAAACAUCAACAACAAUAAUAAAA